CCCGGUCUCUGGUUUUGGGUUCUGGCGGGAACCCCCCCAGGCCGUGCGCGCCGCCGGAUCACUCCGCCUCCAGCCGCGCACGCGCGGGCCCCUCCCCCCCACCCCCGCCUGGCGCGCACGUUGGGUGGGGUGGGCGACCGGGCGGGGGCGGGGCUACCGCGAAAGCCUGGGCUGAGGUCGGGGGUCACGCCGGGUCCGUCUACCGAGGUCUUGGGAGACUGUGGUGUAGACUAGGGUCAAGAGUUCAGGCAUCUCGCACUCGGACCUCCUCCUGCGGUCCCCGGAAUGGGGAGGGUGAAUCCAGGCAGCAGCACGCACCUAGAUAAGGAGUUAACCGGGUGUGAUUUCCCUCAUUACAGCAAGGCACCGUGGAAGUGCAGACUUUCACAGGGGGUGUGGUCUCUGCUCACACAGGUGAGCUCACCUUCAGAUACAAUUUUGUGUGCAUUAAUGAAGAAAUAGUAUGAGAUAAUGAGAGAAUAAGUUAAUUGUGAAUUUAUGGCCUGGAAAACUUUAAAUCUUUGUGAGUGUUUUCAUGGGGGAUUUGACCAUGGUGGUGUAACAAUGGAACCUCAGCACUACCAGGGAUAGUACUAAGAGUACAAUUUUCUUCAGAGGUUUGCUUUUUCUUUUUUGGUUUUUUGAGACAGGGUUUCUCUGUGGCUUUGGAUGGAGGCUGUCCUGGAACUAGCUCUUGUAGACCAGGCUGGUCUCAGUGCUUUUUCUUUUUUAGGACAGGGUCUCUGGAGAGUCCUGGCUGUCCUGGAAUUCACUAUAUUGACAAGGCUGGUCUCAAAUUCACAGAGAUCUGCUUGCCUCUGCUUCCCUGUGCUGGGGUUAACUGUGUGUGUCACCAACCUGACUGGCUUCUUCAGUGUUUUGGAAUGAGGAGGCUAUCUGGAUUUAAAUUCUCCCACUAUUUCCUGUCUUUCUUUUUUUGUUGUUGUUGUUACUGUUUUUUUGUUUUUGUUUUGAGACAGGAUUUUUCUGUGUAGGUUUGGAGCCUGUCCUGGAACUUGCUCUGUAGACCAGGUUGGCCUUGAACACACAGAGAUCCAUGUACCUCUAACUCUAGUGUCUGCCACCAUUGCCCAGCAUAUUUCUUCUUCUGAAAGGAAAUGUCAUUAUGUGGCUGAGGCUGUUCUGGAAUGCUUGGAUUCAAACAAUCCUCUUCACCCCAGUAUUCCAAAUAUGUUCUAACCUCUUCUAGCUAAGCAAGUACUUCCAAGUGUUUGACACACAGCAAAUGCUCAAGAAACAUGGGGAGACAGGGUCUUAUACUGUGUAACCAGGGAUGAACUUGAACUUCUGAUCUUUUUGCCUUUACCUCCCAAGCUUUGAUACUGAAGGUUUAUGCCUCCCUGUCGAUUUUAUGCUUUGUUGGAAAUUGAACUCAUGUUUUAUGUGUGCUAGGUAUGCACUCAACCAACUGAGCUACCUCCCUAUCCCUGGAAACAGUUCUUAACCUCAGCAUUUAGGAGGCUGAGGCAAGAGAAUAAUUAUUUCCAGGCCAGCCUGGAUGGUGUAGUAAGACCCUUUCUGUGUCAACAAACAACUCUUUUAAUGGCC
ensembl:lncRNA